GUCUGUGUUCCCGGCUAUCUGUGUUCCCAGGGCCAGGUAAACCAUCCUGUCCAGAUCAGGAGACGGUGUCCUGGAGACUCAAUCCCAGGAAGCAGAUGGGAGGGGAAAGAAAGGAAAGGGUGCUUUUCAACUACAAAGUUCAGUUGGCUAAGACAGCGCUUCUCUGAGUCUCUCUAGAAAUGCAGACACCAAACAGCGAGCAAGGAGGAAAAGCCUGAUUUCCAGAGGGCGCGCAGUGUCCCCAGUAAUGAAGCCUGACGAGAGGUCUCCUGCUUGCCCAGAGCCGGCUGUUGUCCUAAAAAUGCAAACCAUCGCCUCGGGCCAUGGAAUCGGGAACAGGCAGAGGACAGAGGCUCCGGCUGGGCGCCCCACUGCUCGCCCUCCCUUCAGCACUCCCGACUUGGACGUAGAAAGCUGGUCUUUACCCUUGUACAUAAGGACACAGAAGAAAGGGAUUUUUUUUUUAAGGUGUCCCAGAGGCCGAUGGUUUUAAUCCUGACUUUAUUUUUUUUUUGCUGAGCAGAUACUAAAGCCGGGGGAGGUGGGGACUGCCUACCACCAAUCCUCGAGUCCUCGUGUGUUUUCUCAUGCAAAAUAAGCCCUUUGAACUUGAAAGCUGCAUUUGCGCCUGGCUCCCCAGUGCCUCCCUCCCCCGCGCCUGCAUCCUCUUUGUUUUCUCUAGAGUGUAGGCGAGUGCAUAGCUUCCUCCCUCGGCCAGCCUUUUAUUUUUUUUUAAGUCUGGCUCUUUAAUAAUCGAUGGGCCGGGCGGACUCCUCGCCCCACCUCAGAAACCCUGGCCUGGAGGGUGACCCCUCCGGAGGCCGGAGACUGCACGGAUAUCCACACACCCGCUGGAAGCAGGCCGGGCCUGGAGCAUCUCUGCCUGGGCCCCUCGGCCUGGCAGGAGGAUUCCUCCCUUUCUGCAGCGUUGGUUGGUUUGUGGCUUGUUUUUGUUUUGAACUCUUGCCUUCAGGGCUUCCCUGCUGGUCCUGAGGCUGCAGAGGCAUCCUUGACCCUGGAGGACCAUGUCUGGGAAGGCUCUCAUCCCCUGCCUCUGAGGGUCUUUGUUGCUCACCACUCACAUUGCAAAAAUCCCCCCUCCUCCUCCCCCUCAUCAACCUCCUUGGAAGCAAAGCUCGAAGUUGGAAAAAAAAAAUGCACUUUUCCUUGUGUUUUUAGGCAUCAAUUAUUUCUAUGGAAUUCUUGACAGACAACAAACGAUUAAAAAAAAACAACUCGAUUUUCUGCUGUCAAGGAAACAAGCUGUUAGCACCAUUUCAGGCUCCCUUGGUAAACCUGGGGAAAACUUGGGCAUUCACCACCAUGGUCUCUCACAGAAUUCACCUGAAGUUGUUUCUAGAGCUUCAUUGAAGCGGGGACCCUAGGCCCCAGCUCUGGUGAAGGUCCCUGGUUUUCUGGAAGGGUUGGUGAAAGAGGUGGAGCCAGGAGGUUAGCCUUGUGCACCCCUGGGAUGAGUGUAAGGAAGGUCCGGGUUGGCGGGGGAGGCGUCAGGUCUGUGAGCUGCCCACUGGAGGUGAGGGGUGGUGGAGGGUGGGCCCCACUACCCAAUCAGCUGCCCCAUGGUAUCUCAAGAUCUGAUAGCAUGUAACCCUAUCUUUCGCUGUACGUCUCCAUCUUCAUUUUGCCCAUUGAGUUGAGUUGAAUGUCAGUCGUGUCUGACUCU